GAUCGCACCACUGCAGUCCAGCCUGGGAGACAGAGCAAGUCUCUGUCUCAAGAAAAGAAAAGAAGAGAGAAAAACACUAGCCAAGCGGGCAGUUGAUGCUGUUUGCCAUGGCACGUGACUGUCCCUCCGUGAGUCAGUCUCACUUUUUCUGUCUCUUUCUGAGCAUCUGGCAUCCCCCGUGUUCCUGCUGUUUGAAGUGUUUCCGUCCAGCCCACCCAGCUGACCAUGUAUGUUAGUUUAACCAAAGAAGCCCCAUUUGUGGGUGAUUCUGGCUGUACUGGAUUUUAGACUCUACCCCCUACGUAAGGCAUGCCCCACUGCACCACCUCUGUCAUUCUUUUGGAAAUUAGGUCAGGGCCUCCACUGCACAUACCUUAACCCUUCAAAUCUGAGAUACCAUCAGUUGCACAAUAGGUUAUUAUUCUGUGUAACAAGAAGAAAAGCAACUGCCGAUUACACAAGGAUGCAAGACACAUCCCGAGCCCGGACGAGCUGGAACAUGAAAUUGCAAGUGAUGUGGGGGCAGUGGAUUGUGGCCAUGGGGGCAGUAGGGUGGCUGUUUUGUUUCUGUUGCCUGUUCCAGGGUAAGCUUAUUAUGGCAAGCCGUGACAGGGCCAGCCUAGUGCCUUGGAUUCCCCACAGACCCGUUGGCUUUACAGAGAAAAGCCCCAGACCCGGGUUUCAGUUCCUCAUUCUAUACCGGGGAUGCCCAGGAUACAGGCCUUCAGUCAGACCCAGAUGGUGGGUGGAAAUCUGGGACAUCCAUGAUGCCAGCCACUAGGACAUCAGCAGAGGACCUCGUGACCCUCGUGGGAGGCUGUUUGGGUGGUCCAGGUGAUGGGAGAAAUUGUCUUGUGGGAGGCAGAUACAGCCUGGGCCUCCGUGGCUGAGCACUGUACGGAAAUGGCCCAUGUCCAUGGCCCAGUUGAGGGUCAUUGGCAGGCAGAGGUGGCGUCCGUGUUUAUUACAGUUCUUCAUGGAGACAGAACUAGUAGGAUGGAUGGAUGGAUGGAUAAAUGAUAGAUUGGUAGAUGAUAGGUAGAUGGUACAUGAUGGAUAGAUGGAUGGAUACAUGAUAGGUGGAUGGAUAGGUAAUAGAUGGAUGAUUGAUGGAUGUUUGAUAGAUGAUGGAUGAGUAGAUGGAUUGAUGAUGAGAAGAGAUCUAAGGAAAUUGGAUCAUGUGAUUAUGGAGAAGUCCUAUGCUAGGCCAUCUGCAAGCUGGAGAACCCGGGAAGCUGGUAGCAUGGGUCAGGCCAAGUCUGAAGAUCUCAGACCCAGGGAAGCUGAUGGAAUUCUCGGUCCACAACCAAAGGCUUGAGAACCUGGAGUCACUGGGGUAAGUCCCAGAGUCCAGAAGCCAGACAGCCUGGAGUUCUGAUGUCCAGGGGCAGGAGAGGAUGACAUCCUGUCUACAGAAGAGAGAUCACAUGAGUUUGCCAUUUCUCUGACUUUUUCUUGUGUCUGGACCCUCUGCUGAUUGGGUGGUGCCCAUCCACAUGGGGCAAGGAUGGAUCCUCCUUACUCAGUCCACUGAUUCAAAUGUCAGUCUCAUCUGGAAACACCCUCACAGGCACACACCCAGAAAUAACACUUUACCAGCCAUCUGUGUAUUCCUUAACCCCGUCAAGUUGACUGCUAACAUCACCUAUCACCUGGAUUCCUUCAGCCUCACCUGCUAUGAAGGCCACGUUUGUAGCGUGGGCUUCAGCAUUCCUCAUCACCCACGCCUCUGCUGAUCGCUUGGCUUGGCUUCCUUUCAUGGAAGAAGGAAGCCCACCUUUGUGUUCCUGGAGGUUGCCAGGCGAGCAGGUUGCCAGAGACACCGUGGGAGAGGCAGAGCCUCGGGAGGAGGACCGAGUUUGAAUCAAGAAGCUCCUCCACUGACCUGGCCCUUAAUUCAGUGAGCAGUAGAGAAGGGGUUUUGCCAUAUUGGCCAUGCUGGUCUCGAACUCCUGACAUCAGUUGAUCCACCUGCCGCGGCCCCCCAGAGUGCCAAGGGAUUACAUGCGUGAGCCACCGUGCUGGCCCUCGACUUUGUUACUGCUGACUUUGUGGAAUCGCUAAAUGCGAGGGUGUGCCAGGUCAAGCUUUCUGUGUACUGGGACUACAUGAAGGCCAUCAGCCUCUUCAUCUCCUUUCUCGGCAUCUUCCUUUUCAUAUGUAACCAUGUGGCUGUGCUGGCUGCCAACUAUCGGCUCAGCCUCUGGACUGA